rnacentral:rRNA from 1 species
UACGUAGGAGGCAAGCGUUGUCCGGAAUCACUGGGCGUAAAGCGCGUGUAGGUGGAAGAGGAAGUCUGCUGUGAAAGCGCCUGGCUUAACCGGGCGAGGUCGGUGGAAACUCCUCAUCUAGAGGUCGGUAGAGGGGGGUGGAAUUCCGGGUGUAGCGGUGGAAUGCGUAGAGAUCCGGAAGAACACCAGUGGCGAAGGCGGCCCGCUGGGCAGUGGCUGACGCUGAGGCGCGACAGCGUGGGGAGCAACAGG